CUUGGUCAUUUAGAGGAAGUAAAAGUCGUAACAAGGUUUCCGUAGGUAGAACCCUGCGGAAGGAUCAUUA
rnacentral:rRNA from 1 species